UUCAAGUCAAAAGGCAACUAAAAUAUAUUUUAUUUUUUAAUUUUUUGAAGAUAUUUCCGGCAGUUAUUUUAUCAAACCAUCGGUAAGUAUUAAUAUUUCCCAGCCUGCCCUAAUUUAUUUCGUGGCGCCUUCAUCACUUGUUUUCCAUCUUCCGUCCACUCUGCACUUUCACGUCUCUUCCGAUACUACUUCUCUCUUCUCUUUCUUCUAUUUUCUUUUUGGUUUUGUAAAUCCUAAGGUCAGGAGGAGCAUAACAGCCUGAGGAAGCAUUCAAUGAUUCAAAGAGAAACAAAAUAAGAGUAUUAAAAAGGGGAAGAUGGAAUCAGAGGAUGCUGAUCAUGAUUUUAGUGUUUCGAGGAUCCAAAUUGGGGCUUUAAAUGAAACCUGAAAAAGGGGCGGAAGAAGGAAGAAUAGAGACAUCCAAUCAAGCAUGUUGAGAAACCUAAGAGUGAAAGAGAGGGCUGAGAGAGUGACGGGGUUCGGUGGUAGUAUGUGUUACUUGUGAAGAGGAAUCAAAAUUUAGGUUUCUCUUUUAAGUAUUACAAUCUGAAUUGUGACUCUUUAUUAGCUCGUUCUCUCAUUUGGAAAGCAAGCUCGUUAUGCAAAUGAGUCAGAGUCUCCUUUGCGAACAAGACAAUCAUCUGAUGGAAGUAAUCUUUAGGAAGUUUAUGAUAUUGUUUUAGGAUAAAACUAUACCUAGUUUAUUAUGAAUUGGGUAACAUUUCUUUCUUUGUAACUAUUUUUGCAAUGAGAUUACAUUGACUUCUAGCCUAUC